CGUUGAUGGUCUGUGGUUCGGACUUCCUCUUUAGCCUUUGGCGGGUAUGCUGUGCGUUGGCGAAGUGCGAAGCACAGCGAAGUCGCUUUGUGACAUUCUUCUGUGCCUUGUGAUGAAUCUUAAUAUCCUCAUCCAUCGAUUUUGCAUUUAUCUGAGGGUGUACCGUAUUUGUGGGGGUAUAAAAGAAGAUCAUUCUUUGUGGAUCAUUUCUACCUUGGCUAAGGGCUGAUGGUUUUACUUUGACAAAUAAUAUGGGAAUUGGAAUUGGAAAUAUUUAUUUCUGUUAUAUCGAAGUCAGUCAAUCCAUUUACAUGAAACCUGAAAGGAGUUCAGUGUCGUAAUUGGCAUCAGCAGUCAGCAUGCGUACCUAAAUCUAUCUACCUGUCAAACGACAACAUUUGGAUAAUGUCUAGACAUCGCCACCAUCUUGUUAUGAAUUAUCUACGUAAUUUAUUUAUACUUAAAGUCACUAUAACUUCAAACUGUUUACUUCAUUUUGUGUAGGUAUAACUAUUCACGUUUUUCUAAUCAAAAGUCACGAUUAUUUACUGUAAAUUUGGUAAAUGCUGUUCAUCUCUGUUUCAAAGACUGUAGUAACAUCAGAUUUUAUGUUGAAUUACCGUUGCCACUUCGGUAGGUUAUUUCCAAGUAACAUAUUAUUUUCAGUUAUGGUUUGAAUGUGCAUCUCCGUUCACAGAGCUCUAUGAACGAAGAAUCUUUGCGGUAAGUUUUUAUACAUCUACAAUCUUGUGUUGUGUGUGUAGAUUUAGGCUUGGAUACAACAGCUGCAGUAGUAUACUAUCAUACAUUUUGAGUUUUCAAUUUAAUUUAACUUUGUGCAGUUGAGCCGAAGUACCAUAACUUGAAGACGAGAUUUAAGUUGCAUUUAAAUAUUUACAUUUAUACAUACCUAAUCAUUGUUUUGUUAUAAACAUAUAUGGGUAUGUAAAGAUACGUAACAACCUCAUCAGUCAUCACAAUUGUUUUACCUGUAAGCAUUCUUCUUACGUAGCUGCCUUUGCUGCAGGAAUAAAGGAAAAAUGUGUAAAAUACAUAUAUUAUGAAUAAAUAAAGCAAUACAAUUCAAAUAUCGGAACAAACUACUACACUUCAAGAAAUAACAUUACACAAAUAAAAGCAACAAAAUUCAUAAAUCAAAUGCGAGAAAGCAUAAUGAGGAACAAUAUUUACUGAUACUACCUACAAUAUAUACAUUAUAAAAUAUAUAUAAAUUCAAAACUUAUACAAUGCAUAUAACAUAACACAAAUAAGAUGAUAAUCUCGAUGAUAAUAUACUUCGAAUAUUAAAUAUACGCAUUAAACAUUAACUAUUUAAACAUUUUUUCUUCUAGAAAAUCUUUGUUGAGCAGAACGGAACCAAUCAAUUUCAGCUUGCUCAAUUGCUUGGUCUUUUAAAUCACGAACUGCUUCUACAGAAUAAUAACAUAAAAUAUCAAUUCGCGUAUAAUCAGUUUCUCUUACCAGGCAUGACUUUAAUUAACUGUAAAUUUUCAACACUGUGAUUUUGCUUCCGACCCCUCCACAAGCAAAUGGUAGCAAAGUCAAAAACCUUUGAAAGCAUUUUAAAAAUUGUAGUUCUUUCAUUUGACCCGCUUGAACGUUUUAAUAGUUGAAGCUAGAUAAAAUGUAAUAAUAAAGUUUUUACCUAGGUUUUUACCAAAUACAUAGUAAAGAUAUUUACCAAUGCUGUCGAUUGAGCUUCCUGCUCAAAAAGUUCUAGUUCAUCAAUUGUUUUGAUUGGCAGUUCCGUUGAUAGAACUGGUACAUUUUGGUGGAUCUGCGCAAUGUUUAACUUUUUCUUUAUGGCUAUUAAUCGUAAUCGGUCUGUAUGACUUUGUAAUAGUAAAUCGCAUUUCACCACUAUCAUGAAUAUUUUGAAGCAAACUAUAAACUGCAAUUAAGAUAUGUAAAGACAUACUUCAUUUAAUAGAACACGUAUAAUAUACCUGCUUCAUUUGUAAGAACACUAUCCAUUGGGGAAGGCAGAUCUGGAGUAUUAGAAUGAAGCGAGGUUCUAUCUUGCUGAGAAGGAAUGAUCACCACAGGUAUAUCUGUCAACGACAUGUCAAUAUUUGAUAUUUGUUCAGCAGCAGUUGAUAUAUCUUCAGCAGGAGUUAUACUAGGAAGAGGUAAAGGUGAUAAUGAAUCGUCUUUUGGGUGUUCAUACUGGAAAUCAUCAAUUUGGGUAGUAACUUUGUUUUGUGCUGUAUCUUCUUCUACCUCAGUUUUUUGCAUCUUCGUAAGUGUCUAAGUAUAUAUAAUAUACAUUAUAAACGCAAAAAUGGAGGUGACACAAUACCAAUCAUUUUUUCGUACCGUAGUAAUAUCCUACCACCAUGACUGAUGUUACUGCCCAUGUUUUGUCUGGAUUCCUUUUCAAGCGAAAUGAUUUUUGGUAUUCUUUCAAUGCCAGAUAACUUAAGUAAGUGACAUUGUCCUUUUGGUGAAGCCAUUUCUUUAAAACGAUAGUGUACUGCUCUCCAUCCUUCUCAGAUACAGGAAGAUCAUAGACAACUGCAUAACUAUUUGGCUAAAAAAUAAGAUGAUUUUAAUACAAAAUGCACACAAUUCAUAAAUAUUAUUACAUUAUUGAACUUCACAUUUGGUGCAGUAAAGGCAUCACAAAAAAAAUUUCCAUCAUAGUCAGGAACUUGGAUACAUUUGCAAAGCACAUCUUUAUGAGAGAAUGUUUCUUCGGCGAAGUCUAAUGUAAAAUUAUGUUCAAUGGUAUGUAUUUUUAAAAAUGUAGGAUACAGAUUACAGGUUUGAGCGUUUCUAAUUUUUCUUCCUUUUAUCAUGAUCACCAAUGAACUGACAAUUUUUGUGAUUUGAAUUAUUGUGUUAGAUUUUGGUAAAAUACAAUUAUUUCUCGUUGUAGUAUAAUUGUAUAAUUAUACGUUGUAGUAAUUUUUAUAACAGCAAAAUCACAUUAAUUACAUUUCCUCGCUCACUUUGUUUUGCUACUAUCUGCGUUAUAUAGAUUUGGAUUAGCCGUAGGUAUUAAAUAGGUACCUACUCGUCAGGCACGUGCGAUGAAAGCAAAGAAAGAAAAAUGUUUUGAUUUAAUUGAUGCAGUGAAUGCCGAUGAGCGAUGUGUCUGUUAGUGUGCGUACGAAUUGUGCGCGUUUGUAGCUGCACAAAGUGUAAUCUGAAUGACAAGGAACGAACCGUGCAGUGUGCUUGUGCUUGCACUCAUGGCUCAAACGUAUAAUAACACGAUUACCAACAGCAACACCAAAAUGUGCUGGUGAGCUGGAAGCUCUUUUUUUUAGAGUCGUUCGUUCGCAGCACACUCAACUGUGCCACGCUCGACCCGCUCACGUGCGACCCAUCACUACUUGAUGAUACCCGACGGCGAAAUUUUCCAUCUUUACGCGCGGGCAUGUCAAUACCCAAUUUUGCAUUCCUUUCUGGCAGCUGGAAGACCUAAGAAAGUUCUUUGAAGGUGAAAUUCUUUGGGUUAGGGAGUUCUAACCGCUUUCUUUACUGUGUCGUUUUCUUUGCGGAGUUUUUUUCUCUACUGCAGUCGGUCGCCUAAGUACCUUGGGUUGAUUUGGUUUUUUUUCUUUUCUACAGCUUGUGGGACCCAAGUAACACACAUAAUAUAUUUUUAAUAAAUAUUGCAUAUAUUGUUAAAAAUGUAUAAAGUAUAAUAUGUUUAAUACAUUCUGAGUAAACUUUUUUGUUCUAUUAAUAUAAUAUUUUUCUCAUAAAAAAGCUAUUAAAUAGAUUCAAAACAUUUAUUAAAUAGGAAAAAAGGAAAUUUUAUUUUAUAAAAAUCAAAUAUAAAUAAAAUACAUACAAAAUACUAACACUAACUCAUACAAUAUAACAACAAAAUAAAAAUAAUACAUGCAUUCUCCUUAUUCCAAUUCAACGUCUUCUUUACUAGGCCCCAUUAUAAUGCUUGACCUAACAACAAGAGAAAACUAUUUAGUUCUAUAAUCAAAUAUUCGGUUAUUAUUGUGACAUUAAUUUUGGCAGAAAAAAAUUGAAACUUAAUUGAAUCAAUAAGUAAAAUCGAAUUUGUUACAAGAACUUGUCAAGUACAAUUGCUUGCUGGCAGCUACUCUAGAAUACACAUUUUCCAACUAUAACUAUUAAGUUUCACUUUCUACACUUAGCAAGAAUCUUGAUUAGGUUUACUGCUCAUAAAAUUACAAUUUACCAAUUUUUACAAUUAUAACACAGAGAGCAAACUUUCCAGUAAAUCUUGUAAAAGUUUUGGUACAACCCAGACAACACAAACAUAUCUUAUGGACAGCCAUUUGCAAUACAAAAAUGGACAUCUGUUUUAUCUUAUGUAUAUCCACUUUUGGAUAUGGUACAUAAAAUGGAUGUCCAUAGGAUUAUACGGAUGACACAAACUUGUACAUCCAUGUAUAAUCCACAUAUGUAUCCUUUUUGGAUAUCCACUGGAAGUACUUCAUACAUACAUAAUUGUAACAUUUCACAUGGAUGGACAUCCAUAGAACGUUACUUGUUUUACCAACCAAAUUAGAUAAAGAAAGGAGACAUAGAUAAUAAAAUAAAAUUUUAUUCGUUGUAAAACAUAAAUAAAAAACAAACCAUUUUCUAAAAAAAUUAACAAUCAUUCAACAUACAUAUAUAAUAUACCUAAUAUAACUACUUCUUAGCAUCGUGUCGUUCCUUGGCUCUUCGCAGCCAUUUUUUUAUCGCCUCAGUUGCUUUCUUAUCACUUUUCAAGUUUGAUAUUGCAGCGGCUUCUGUAAUUAAAAUAUUGGUAUCGCCUUGGGGUGCGCACUAAAAUGUGUGCAGUCACUAUUAACAAUAUAAAAUUCUAAGGUCACUUACCUAACAAAAGAUCACACAAUCUCAAGCUCUUGAAAAUUUUCUUUUUUUUGACCCCAUAGUAGGAAUAUUCUUUUGCUACUUCGUCCGUAAUUAGUACACUCAAAGACCGCCUAACAAAAUCAUAAAUAUUGGAACCUCCAAUUCUUGAAAUAUCUUCGACCUAAAACAGAAUAGGUAUCUGAAUCAGUUUAAAAUUGUAGUAAUAAAUAAUAAUAAAAAGGAAAGUUUAAGGAAAUUCUGUAGAAAUUUUAUGGAUAUAAGGGAUUUCAAAGGAAGUAGCGUUACACAUUUUUUUACUUACCGUCCCCUUGAAAUUGAUGUCAGAUUUUAAAUAAGAAUCCAGUUCCUUCAGUUCCAUUUCUCCGUUAAUCGGUAAAUGGAAAUUAUUCAAAAAAUUUUCUCUAUAAAAUUCUUUCGUUUUGUUGCCAUGAAGUUUUUGCACAUCCUCAUUAAACUGAAGAAGUGAAGCUUUCAUAGUUGUUAAUUGCCUUAAUAUUUCUCUUAACAUGUUUUCUAAAAAAAAGCACAUACUACAAUACACACAUUGUGAAAUGGCUGGUCAAUUUAAAAACAAUAAAGUGUAAUUUUAGAACAAUUUUAAAACUAAAUAUACAUACCAUUUUUAGAUUGAUGUAAUUGACAUGUACAGCUACAUGUGGUGCUUUUAGAUCGAAUUACAGCCUCCGGGCGAAAUUCACUAACUGAUAGAGUACCGACUGAGCUAGGAGUAACAAGUUGAUUGCUUAUUAUGUGUAAAUUGUUGUUGUCUGUUGUUGCCUUUGAAGUUUUCUUACUAUUUCUUUGGGACUGAUUAUCAUCUAUACACAGAUACUUAUAUUAGGUACCAGUUAUUCUCUAUGUAUAAUAAACCUUACAUUUCAGCACAGGUGGCUUCUUCAUAACAAUUGUGUCCUCUUCACUGUCUGUAGAAUCUGCCAUAUACCUUCUAGACGGUACUGUUUUUCUUUUAGUAGAAACGUGUUCGUCAUCUGUUGUAUUAAGAUCAGAUGUAAAUUGCGCGUUGGAAGACUUUUUACAUGCAAUACCAUAGUCCUCUACAAAAUCAUGAAUUCAAUUAGUUUAUUAUAUAAAAAGUAUUCUAUUUACAAGUACAGAUUGUCCCUUACUAUAUGUGCUAUCUUUAAAAAUUCUGAUGUCAUACAAUGGCCAGCAAGUAUUUGGUUGAGAAUUCUGUUUAAUUUCAUGUAAAACUUUGUCCCUAGCUUGUGGUGGCCAAUAACACUGACCAUUAAAAAUCCAUUUGGUUGGAACAGCUUCCACUUCUUUGGUCUCCACAAACUCCACCACAGUCCAACUCAUUAUCUAAAAGAAAAAUUAACAAGCAGUUAUAUUGCAUAACCAUUCGAGGAGGGAAAUAUUCAGAUAUAUACCUAAUGGUAUCGGUUAAGUGAAAUGCAAAAAAAAAAUUAAUUAUUGUUAAUUAUGGGUAUAAAUUUUCAUUCUUUCUUUAGUCAAAAAAGUAAUGGCUGUUGGCAGGUAUUAUGUAAAAGAAUUAAUAAUAUAUACAGACUUAUGAUACUAUAGCUAUAAUAUUUAAAUGUUCAUAUUUUAUCACUAAAUAUAAAUGUUGAUUGAAGCAGAAUAACCCACUAACAAUGGUGCAUAGGAAAAAGGACAUAAUUUGAAUCUUUUAAUUUAAGUUUAAUAUAUUUAUGAACAAUUUGCUCUAUUUCCCACUCCACACAAGAGCUGGUGUCUUCUGUAUUCACCAAAUAAAUUCCUAAAGAAGAGGAUGGGCAUGGUGUACAAUAAAAAUCAUCUGCCACUCAAUUGUUGUACAGACUCUAAAAAUAAAAAUAAAUUUCUUUUACUGUAUUCAGUGGUUUUUAAGACUUACUCGAUAAGUGGCAAACUCCAAGCGGCAAUGUUUUCAGAGUGACUGGCUUAUCUGAUAUACAAAAGUGUGAUUUUUUUGAAAUAUUACACAUACUUUUAUAUGGUGCUGGUAAUGCCCUCAUUGAUGUUGAGGAUGCUGUUGAGGUGGAGGGUGCCACUGAAGGGAGAUUUCCUAGGCGAAUUUCUUGCUAUUUUGGUGGGGGGCGGAUAUGACCUCUCGGUACUCUCGCUCUCUGCUGACGAUGAUGAUCGCCUCUUAGUGCGCAUUAAAAUAUAAAUUCAAUACUUCUGCCAUAAUCAGUUAUAAAAAGGAAAGUAUCUACAUCCAUGAAUAUUAUUUAUAGAAUGAGCAUUAUUUUCUAGUAGAACUCAUCAUAAUGUUCCUUGACAAUUGUAAUUUUUAUAGUCAGCCAGUCAUCUUCUGGGUAUGUACAAUUUUUUGCGAACUUUGUAGCACUAGCUGCUCCCUUAUCAGGAUACCUCAUUGCAGAUGGCGACAUUAUCCAAAUGCUUGGAAUGCAAUCAAAUUCCUCUUCAUCAUCCUCCAUAAUUUUUUGAAUUACCGACCACUGUACAAUGUACAUUCAAAAACAAAUCAUUCAUUUCUCAUUCUCUUGCCUCUUUAAAAUAACUAAAAAUAUAAGUAAAGAAAUUACCAUAGAAUUACAAACCACUUUAGAAUAAUCCAAUGCUAUCU